rnacentral:rRNA from 1 species
UAACCUGCCCAAGAGAUCGGGAUAACACCUUGAAACAGAUGCUAAUACCGGAUAACAACAGAUGAUGCCUAUCAACUGUUUAAAAGAUGGUUCUGCUAUCACUCUUGGAUGGACCUGCGGUGCAUUAGCUAGUUGGUAGGGUAACGGCCUACCAAGGCGAUGAUGCAUAGCCGAGUUGAGAGACUGAUCGGCCACAUUGGGACUGAGACACGGCCCAAACUCCUACGGGAGGCAGCAGCU